GGGGAAUUUUGGGCAAUGGGCGAAAGCCUGACCCAGCGACGCCGCGUUGGGGAUGAAGUCCUUCGGGGCGUAAACCCAUGUUGUAGGGGAAGAAGAAAGUGACGGUACCCUACGAGAAAGCCCCGGCCAACCACGUGCCAGCAGCCGCGGUAAAACGUAGGGGGCAAGCGUUGUCCGGAAUUAUUGGGCGUAAAGGGUUCGCAGGUGGCCUUUUAAGUCAGAUGUGAAAGAUCAAGGCUUAACCUUGGUAAGCAUUUGAAACUGAAAGGCUUGAGUUAAGGAGAGGAAAGUGGAAUUCCUAGUGUAGCGGUGAAAUGCGUAGAUAUUAGGAGGAAUACCAGUGGCGAAGGCGACUUUCUGGACUUAUACUGACACUGAGGAACGAAAGCAUGGGGAGCAAACA
rnacentral:rRNA from 1 species